UACAGAGGUCUCAAGCGUUGUUCGGAUUCAUUGGGCGUAAAGGGUGCGUAGGCGGCGCGGUAAGUCGGGUGUGAAAUCUCGGAGCUUAACUCCGAAACUGCAUUCGAUACUGCCGUGCUUGAGGACUGGAGAGGAGACUGGAAUUUACGGUGUAGCGGUGAAAUGCGUAGAUAUCGUAAGGAAGACCAGUGGCGAAGGCGGGUCUCUGGACAGUUCCUGACGCUCAUGUGCGAAAGCUAGGGGAGCGAACGGG
rnacentral:rRNA from 1 species